AUUGAACGCUGGCGGCAUGCCUUACACAUGCAAGUCGAACGGUAACAGGUCUUCGGAUGCUGACGAGUGGCGGACGGGUGCGUAAUACAUCGGAACGUGCCCGAUCGUGGGGGAUAACGAAGCGAAAGCUUUGCUAAUACCGCAUACGAUCUACGGAUGAAAGCGGGGGAUCUUCGGACCUCGCGCGGACGGAGCGGCCGAUGGCAGAUUAGGUAGUUGGUGGGAUAAAAGCUUACCAAGCCGACGAUCUGUAGCUGGUCUGAGAGGAUGAUCAGCCACACUGGGACUGAGACACGGCCCAGACUCCUACGGGAGGCAGCAGUGGGGAAUUUUGGACAAUGGGCGCAAGCCUGAUCCAGCCAUGCCGCGUGCAGGAUGAAGGCCUUCGGGUUGUAAACUGCUUUUGUACGGAACGAAAAGGUGCCUUCUAAUAAAGGGCGCUCAUGACGGUACCGUAAGAAUAAGCACCGGCUAACUACGUG
rnacentral:rRNA from 1 species